rnacentral:rRNA from 1 species
UACGGGAGGCAGCAGUGGGGAAUAUUGCACAAUGGGCGCAAGCCUGAUGCAGCCAUGCCGCGUGUAUGAAGAAGGCCUUCGGGUUGUAAAGUACUUUCAGUCGUGAGGAAGGUGUUAAGGUUAAUAACCUUAGCAAUUGACGUUAGCGGCAGAAGAAGCACCGGCUAACUCCGUGCCAGCAGCCGCGGUAAUACGGAGGGUGCGAGCGUUAAUCGGAAUUACUGGGCGUAAAGGGCACGCAGGCGGUUAAUUAAGUUGGAUGUGAAAUCCCCGGGCUUAACCUGGGAAUGGCAUUCAAGACUGGUUAGCUAGAGUCUUGUAGAGGGGGUAGAAUUCCAUGUGUAGCGGUGAAAUGCGUAGAGAUGUGGAGGAAUACCGGUGGCGAAGGCGGCCCCUGGGACAAAGACUGACGCUCAUGUGCGAAAGCGUGGGGAGCAAACAGGAUUAGAUACC